rnacentral:rRNA from 1 species
CACGUAGGGCGCAAGCGUUGUCCGGAAUUAUUGGGCGUAAAGAGCUCGUAGGCGGUCUGUUGCGUCCGCUGUGAAAACUCGGGGCUUAACCCCGAGCCUGCAGUGGAUACGGGCAGACUAGAGUUCGGUAGGGGAGUCUGGAAUUCCUGGUGUAGCGGUGAAAUGCGCAGAUAUCAGGAGGAACACCGGUGGCGAAGGCGGGUCUCUGGGCCGAUACUGACGCUGAGGAGCGAAAGCGUGGGGAGCGAACAGG